GAUGAAGAACGUAGCGAAAUGCGAUAAGUAAUGUGAAUUGCAGAAUUCAGUGAAUCAUCGAAUCUUUGAACGCAUAUUGCGCUCUCUGGUAUUCCGGAGAGCAUGCUUGUUUGAGUGUCAGUAAACACCUCAACUUCCAUAUCUUUUUUGAAAUGGGAGUUGGACUUGAGUGAUCCCAACGCUUUUCCUCACCGAAAAGUGGCGGGUUACUUGAAAUGCAGGUGCAGCUGGACUUUUCUCUGAGCUAUAAGCAUAUCUAUUUAGUCUGCCUAAAAACAGAUUAUUACCUUUGCUGCAGCUAACAUAAAGGAGAUUAGUUCUUGUGCUGACUGAUGCAGGAUUCACAAAGACAGGCUUCGGCCGACUUUGUAAACUCGAUCUCAAAUCAAGUAAGACUACCCGCUGAACUUAAGCAUAUCAAUAAGCGGAGGA
rnacentral:misc_RNA from 1 species